rnacentral:misc_RNA from 1 species
AGCAGCCGCGGUAAUUCCAGCUCCAACAGCGUAUAUUAAAGUUGUUGCAGUUAAAAAGCUCGUAGUUGAAUUGAGGGAUUGACGUGACGGUCGUGCCUUACGGGGUAUGAACUGUUGCUGUUGAUUUUUCUCACCUUCUGGAGAAACUUGAUGUCCUUAAUUGGGUGUCUUGCGGAUCCAGGACCUUUACCUUGAAAAAAUUAGAGUGUUUAAAGCAGGCAUUUUGCUCGAAUACAUUAGCAUGGAAUAAUAGAAUAGGACGGCAUGGUUCUAUUUUGUUGGUUUCUAGGAUCACCGUAAUGAUUAAUAGGGAUAGUUGGGGGCAUUAGUAUUCAAUUGUCAGAGGCGAAAUACUUGGAUUUGUUGAAGACUAAUUACUGCGAAAGCAUUUGCCAAGGAUGUUUUCAUUAAUCAAGAACGAAAGUUAGGGGAUCGAAGACGAUCAGAUACCGUCGUAGUCUUAACCAAUAAACUAUGCCGACUAGGAAUCAGACGAUGUAAUUUUUUAAUGAUUCGUUUG